rnacentral:rRNA from 1 species
AUGAUGCACCACCCACCCCAGUGCAUGUCCUUUAGGAGAUUGGAAGCAAUCGAUGUGUUGUCCCUGCUACUGAACUUACUGAAAUCCUCAAUGCAGCUCCUGAACCUGCGUCCACUUCGACUGCACGCACAGGUAAUCUGCUCGCUGACGAUUUGGCACCUGCUGCGCCUUCUUAACUACCAAAAUCAAUCCUGGAAAAAGCGCUGCACCAUUCGGUGGAUCAAGUUCGGCGAUGAAAAUACGAAAUUCUUCCAGGCAGUUGCCACUGAAAGAUAUCGCCGUAACAUCACCAGCUUCAGAAAAGAUGAUGGAGCUCUUGUUGAUAAUCAUUCGGGCAAAGAGGCACUCCUGUUUCAAACUUACACUGAUCGUUUGGGCACCUCGCGACUGACAGAAAUGAAGUUCAACCUUUCAAACAUUGUUCAGCGCCAUCAUGAUCUGGACCAGUUAACUGAACAAUUGCACACGAUGAGAUCGAUGCAGUAA